CACCUCUUGUUACACAAAAUAUAAGAGGCCCCGCCUGCCCUGUGACAAUAAGUUUAACGGCCGCGGUAUUUUAACCGUGCGAAGGUAGCGUAAUCACUUGUCUUUUAAAUGGAGACCAGUAUGAAUGGCAUCACGAGGGCUUAACUGUCUCCCCUCUCCAGUCAAUGAAAUUGACCUUCCCGUGCAGAGGCGGGAAUAUUAAUAUAAGACGAGAAGACCCUGUGGAGCUUUAGACCUAAAAUAAGCCACGUCUAGUAUACUGAAAUACCAGCAAAAGCCUAGUGGUUACAUAUUGAAGUGUCUUUGGUUGGGGCGACCGCGGGGUAAAACACAACCCCCUUGUGGACUGGGGAUAUUAUCCCUAAUACUCAGAGCCUCUACUCCAAGUAACAGAAAUUCUGACUUUCUGAUCCGGUAUUACCGAUCAACGAACCGAGUUACCCCAGGGAUAACAGCGCAAUCCCCUCUCAGAGCCCUUAUCGACGAGGGGGUUUACGACCUCGAUGUUGGAUCAGGACAUCCUAAUGGUGCAGCCGCUAUUAAGGGUUCGUUUGUUCAACGAUUAAAGUCCU
rnacentral:rRNA from 1 species